rnacentral:lncRNA from 1 species
UGACAGCAACAUGGCUUGUGAACUUUUUCCAUUUUGUCAUCUCGCAGGAACCGUGUGAAGAAUCGUUAGGUACUCUGCCAGUCAAAAAAGGUAUCAUACGCUUGGUAGUCUGGUUGACCUAUCGAGAGCGGUGUAUAUAUCUUUACCUCAGAUGGCUUCUUGCUUUUUGAAUGAUUCUUUCCGAUAUUGCCAACCGAAAUAAGCAUGAGCCUAUGAUAAGCCAAGUUGUAGGGGACCUCAAAUCUUG